UGGGGUUUCACCGUGUUAGCCAGGAUGGUCUCAAUCUCCUGACCUCGUAAUCCGCCCGCCUCGGCCUCUCAAAGUGCUGGCAUUACAGGCGUGAGCCACCGCGCCCGGCCACACACACACUUCUUAAACUCACUUAACUCUAAAGGUACACACAGGAAAGAAAGCUGGUGGUGUUAUUUACAUAUGAGGCAAAGUUGACAAUAGCAAGCAUUAUUAGAAAUAAAGAGGAACAUUUCACAAUUGGAAAUAUUCAAAAGAGCUGGAAUACAUUUGUCUUAUUUAAGGCAUAGAGAGAAGACUCGCAUGGCUGUAGACAAAACUGAUUGGAGGAUGACCAGGUACUAGGCUGUAUCUGUAAUCUAGGUGAGAGAGCAUGGCUCAGGGGUAAUAUACGUGGGAAUGGCUUGGAUUUGGUUUAUAUAUUGGAGCUAGAUCUUUGAUGAGAUUGAGUGAAGGCUGCAGUGGGAAAGGGUAAGCAAGAAUGACUCCUAGACACCGCUCAGCAAUAAAAAGCACUUAAAAUAUUUAUCAAUAUAUAGAUGAAUUCCAACAUAAUUAUGCUCAAUGAACAGCCCCCACUUCCCUAAAGAUUACGUGCGAUACAAUUCCAUUUAUAUAAAACACCAAGAAAAACAGGUUGGGCACAGUGGCUCACAUCUGCAAUCCCAACACUUUGGGAGGCUGAGGCAGAGGGUCAAUUGAAGCUAGGAGUUCCAGAGCAGGCUGGGCAACACAGAGAGACCCCAUAUGUUUAAAAAAAAACAAAAAGCUAGACAUGGCGGUCCUCACCUGCAGUCUCAGCUACUCGGGAGGCUGAAGCAGUUGGAUUGCUUAAGGGCAGGAGUUUGAGGCUACAGUGGGUCCCGAUCGUGUCACUGCACUCCCGCCUGGGUGACAGAGCAAGCGAGACCCAGUCUGUAUAAAAAGAUAUUUAAAAACUCCAGGAAAUUCAAACUAUAGUGACAAAAAGCAGAUGGGUGGGAGGGGGAGGAGGGAAGGAGGGAGAGAGGAAAGGGUUACAGAGAGACGGGAGGAACAUCUUCACUGUUGAUUGUGAUGAUGGUUUCACAGUGUAUACAUGUGUCAAGAUGUAUCAAACUGCACACUUUAAUUUGCGCCACUGCACUCCAGCCCAGGUGACAGAGUAAGGUCGCUUUCCCCGGGCUCGGCCGGCCUCUCCACCCGGCGCUCGGGUGCUGCGCUGCCUGUUCCUGUUGCCACUUCGUGUAAGUUAGCGCAGGCAACAACACACAAGACCAGCACACGUGAAAUGGUCCAUUUUAAUGCACUGCCCCCAGGGAAAGGAACAUUACCGGCUUCUGGCCAUGUCGUCUUCCCAGUCCCAGAUGGCGGUUCCGGGUUUGGGCUCCGAGGUGACGCGCGCACGCGAGUUCGCGGACACGCACGAGACGCCCGGGCCACGGAGGCGCGGGGCUGGCCCAGGGUCCCCGCCAGGCCGAGCUCUAGGGCUGCCGGCCCGGCCCGGUGACCCCCGCGCUCCCCUCCGUCCGCUAAGGCCCCGCGGCGCCGCGCAUGCGCCCCGCCGCCGCCCCCGC
rnacentral:lncRNA from 10 species